rnacentral:rRNA from 1 species
AUUGAACGCUGGCGGCAGGCUUAACACAUGCAAGUCGAGCGGAGAGAGGUAGCUUGCUACUGAUCUUAGCGGCGGACGGGUGAGUAAUGCUUAGGAAUCUGCCUAUUAGUGGGGGACAACAUUUCGAAAGGAAUGCUAAUACCGCAUACGUCCUACAGGAGAAAGCAGGGGAUCUUCGGACCUUGCGCUAAUGGAUGAGCCUAAGUCGGAUUAGCUAGUUGGUGGGGUAAAGGCCUACCAAGGCGACGAUCUGUAGCGGGUCUGAGAGGAUGGUCCGCCACACUGGGACUGGGACACGGCCCAGACUCCUACGGGAGGCAGCAGUGGGGAAUAUUGGACAAUGGGCGCAAGCCUGAUCCAGCCAUGCCGCGUGUGUGAAGAAGGCCUUAUGGUUGUAAAGCACUUUAAGCGAGGAGGAGGCUACUUUAGAUAAUACCUAGAGAUAGUGGACGUUACUCGCAGAAUAAGCACCGGCUAACUCUGUGCCAGCCGCCGCAGUAACAC